GGGGACGUAACAAAGCGACCCAGGAAUACUUGGGCGUGCCUCCACCCACGCCGGCGUCGGCGGGCGUAUUUCGCCUCACAGUAGGUCGCCGCGACCCGUUGCUUUUGGGGACGUCGAAGGCCCGGACGGAUUGGUACCCUACCGGCUGGGGAUGCGGCUUCGGCUUCUCCUCUUGUCCGGUGGGCGAAACCGCCGGUGUCCUGGCUGCCCUGCGACGGUCGUAGAGACGAGCCCCUCCCAUUCGUGGGGGGCGGCUCUCGCGGCGUGCAAAAGGUCGGUGAUCCACCCGACCCGUCUUGAAACACGGACCAAGGAGUCUAACAUGUGUGCGAGUCAGUGGGCGCACUAAACCCAGAGGCGUAAUGAAAGUGACACGGGUUCGGCUGUCGCCUCGUGUGGCAGCCGGACUCAGGGCCGAUCCCUCACCGGUUGCCCUCGCCUCUCUCCCACGUCUCGGUAAGCCGGGUGAGCUAUUUUCCCCGGCCGCUGCUGCGGGGCGCGGGGGGUGGCGGGGUGCGAUGGUGUCCGUAAAAAAGAGCCUGCUGUUGCAGGGGGGCGCAGGCCCGGGACUUGCCAGGACGCCGCGAGACUGUCACUUUGCUGUGAGGCUCCAGGGCCGAUCAGCGGGUCAUGCGUGCAGUCGGCAAGUACCAUGAGCAGACAUGUUGGGACCCGAAAGAUGGUGAACUAUGCCUGGCCAGGAUGAAGCCAGAGGAAACUCUGGUGGAGGUCCGUAGCGAUUCUGACGUGCAAAUCGAUCGUCGGAGCUGGGUAUAGGGGCG
rnacentral:rRNA from 1 species